GUCUCCUCCCAAAGCGUAACGGAGGAGCACGAAGGUUAGCUAAUCCUGGUCGGACAUCAGGAGGUUAGUGCAAUGGCAUAAGCUAGCUUGACUGCGAGCGUGACGGCGCGAGCAGGUGCGAAAGCAGGUCAUAGUGAUCCGGUGGUUCUGAAUGGAAGGGCCAUCGCUCAACGGAUAAAAGGUACUCCGGGGAUAACAGGCUGAUACCGCCCAAGAGUUCAUAUCGACGGCGGUGUUUGGCACCUCGAUGUCGGCUCAUCACAUCCUGGGGCUGAAGUAGGUCCCAAGGGUAUGGCUGUUCGCCAUUUAAAGUGGUACGCGAGCUGGGUUUAGAACGUCGUGAGACAGUUCGGUCCCUAUCUGCCGUGGGCGCUGGAGAAUUGAGGGGGGCUGCUCCUAGUACGAGAGGACCGGAGUGGACGCAUCACUGGUGUUCGGGUUGUCAUGCCAAUGGCACUGCCCGGUAGCUAAAUGCGGAAGAGAUAAGUGCUGAAAGCAUCUAAGCACGAAACUUGCCCCGAGAUGAGUUCUCCCUGAGACUUUAAGUCUCCUGAAGGAACGUU
rnacentral:rRNA from 1 species